AAUGAACGCUGGCGGCAUGCCUAAUACAUGCAAGUCGAACGAAAACACGAGGAGCUUGCUCCUCUGCCGUUAGCGGCGGACGGAUGAGUAACGCAUGUAUAACAUACCUCUUAGACUGGGAUAACUACGGGAAACCAGAUCUACUACUGGAUAAUAUAUUGAACCGCAUGGUUCAAUAGUUGAAGACGCUUUUGGUGUCACUUAUAGCCGAAUUCGGGCCGCAUUAGCAAGUUGGUAAGGUAACGGCUUACCAAGGCGACGACGCGUAGCCGACCUGAGAGGGUGAUCGGCCACACUGGAACUGAGACACGGUCCAGACUCCUACGGGAGGCAGCAGUAGGGAAUCUUGCGCAAUGGGCGAAAGCCUGAUGGAGCAAUGCCGCGUGAGUGAUGAAGGGCUUCGGAUCGUAAAGCCCUGUUAUUAGGGAAGAAGAAAAGUGUGAGUAACUAUGCACGUCAUGACGGUACCGAAACAAAAAGCCACGGCUAACUACGUG
rnacentral:rRNA from 1 species